UACGAAGGGGGCUAGCGUUGUUCGGAAUCACUGGGCGUAAAGCGCACGUAGGCGGCUCGUUAAGUCGGGGGUGAAAUCCCGAGGCUCAACCUCGGAACUGCCUUCGAUACUGGCGAUCUUUGAGUCCGGGAGAGGUGAGUGGAACUCCGAGUGUAGAGGUGAAAUUCGUAGAUAUUCGGAAGAACACCAGUGGCGAAGGCGGCUCACUGGCCCGGUACUGACGCUGAGGUGCGAAAGCGUGGGGAGCAAACAGG
rnacentral:rRNA from 1 species